UUGUAUGUGUGUUUGUGUGCGUGUGUGCAGUUGUACAGAAAAAACAGGAAUGCCCCAAAUUUACACAAGAUGCAAAUAUGGAUGAAUGUCUGAUUUUCAUGAUGUAAACUGGUAAAAUAUGUGAGGAGAAAGGAGAGGUUGGUAAAUGAAAUUGAACCUGACUUUUUGAUUGAAAAAUGCUGUAUUUCCCUCAUUUCCCUGCUGUUCCUUUCUCAGGCAGCAGCUCAGAUUUGACAGCCACAAUUAUGAAAUCGGCAUACCAAAGGCAAUCUUUUUGUUUCAAAGAGUUUUCUGAUAAAAUGGUUCUUCAAAAUGGGCUUGGAUUUAACUCUCCAUAUCUACCUCUUGCCUCCUGUAUUUUGGAAGGUUUGAAAACCACUGCCAGGCUCUACCGUGAGAAAGAAUAUAAUUCUUGCUGCCUUAGUUUACCCAGUUCUGUUUGACAAGUGCUUCACAGAGGAGUUGCAAGGCCAAUGCAGUUCAGUGUUUGGGAAGAUCAUCAGAGAUCCCUGAUGAAAGAUGCUGUGCAACUUAAUGUUAUUGUAUUUUUCCUCACAGAUUUAUGAAAAAUUAUUUUAAAAGCUUCAUUCCUUCUGUUUGGUAGAAAUAAAUCAUUCACAACUGGUAACA
rnacentral:lncRNA from 1 species